UAGACCAGUGAUCUGAAUGUGUUAUGAACCAAAGACUGUGAUUAAUCCAAUUCUGUGCAACUGAGUUUCUC
rnacentral:snoRNA from 10 species